CGAGCGGCCUAUGGCGGGCAGCGCGUUGUCCGGCUGGCCGCGCGGGAGACCCGAUGGAACGUUGGCAGCGACGCGCGUUAAGCAGCACUUGGGAACGCGCGCCCGCUGGAGCCUUCAAAGCGACACGCCCCUGGGGAAAAGAGGCCUCCGCGUAAUUGCAACCGCUUGCCCGAACGACGCCCCUUCCCAGUCAACGCGCGCGCUUCCUUAGGAGUAAGCCACGCCGCCGGACCUCUUUCAGAGGAAACACUUCAGGUUUUCACUGCGGUGGGUGAGCCACAGUACAACCCAGCCGCGCCAAGGCCGGUCAGCUCCUUUAAUGUUGGCCCGGCAAAUGACAACGCAGCCACCGGAUAGAGAAAUGGGGACCCCCAACCACAACGGCCCCUGGCCCCUUUGUUCCUUUGAAAAGCUGCGUAGCAAAAGUCCAAGCCGGCACCUUGCCUGCCAUGGCCCCUGCAAGCCGCCUCAAGGCCCAUGGGGAGAAUUCAUCAGCUCCCUAUAUGGAACAAUGGCUUAGAGAUGUAUGUGAUCCUUCUUGCCAAAUACACAGUGAUCCCUCUAAGUUCCAGAGCUGAACUACCAUAAUCGGCAGAUCAAAAAGGGCAGAAUAGAGCCUACUUAUAUAGAGCUCAUACAUCUUCCAGAGCCUAUUUGAAAGACUGAGCGGCCCUUAAUGAAAGAUGCAGACUGACUACUACUUAUAUAGACUCCCUGGAAAAGACCCUGAUGUUGGGAAAGAUGGAGGGCACAAGGAGAAGGGGACGACAGAGGACGAGA